rnacentral:pre_miRNA from 1 species
ACUGGAAUAGCUGGGUUAAAUGGUGGUUCCAUUCCAAGUUUUCUAAGGAAUCUCCAUACUGCUCUCCAUGGUGGUUACACCAAUUUGCAAUCCCACCAGCAAU